AUGGUUAGAAUGGCAUCACACAUUUUGUCUUUACCUAUUAGGUCCCAAUAUAAAGGUCGGCUAGCUAGAUAUAUAUCCAUCCUAAUCUUAGUGUUUUAAUUCAUUUUUCUUAGUUUAAUUAUUGUCAAUAUAACAUAACCUAGCACGGCAAAUAUAUCUAUCUACGAUUCUCUAAUCUAUAAUUAUAGUCAUUGUUUUCUUAACCCUCCUAGCUAAUGAGGACAGCCCCACCUUUCUCCAUCUAUGCAUUGUUUUGUUUGAGUACAUAAUAUUGGUGCUUAUACAGUUAAUAGGGCAACAACCUGUCUGCACUUGCCUUGUUUCCUUCAUAAAUCCUAAUGCAUAGCAUAGACAUUAGACACACUCUCGUCUCUUCUUUUCUCAACUUUAUAUCUUUUGGUCCACCAACGUAACAGACCACCCCCAUUCAUUGCUUUAGCUUAGCUAGCUUCGUAAUAUAUAGUCCCAUCUUCUCCUCAAUAAUUAUCAUAACAAUAACAACUCAUUAUAUUUGUGACAUAUGAUCAUAUCGAUAGGUUUUUUAAAAAAAUAUUCAUAUCACUAAUUUACAUAUUUAAAAACAUAUCGACAAAUAAAUAAGGCGCAUACAAUCCCUCAA
rnacentral:lncRNA from 1 species